rnacentral:rRNA from 1 species
AUUGAACGCUGGCGGCAUGCCUUACACAUGCAAGUCGAACGGCAGCACGGGAGCUUGCUCCUGGUGGCGAGUGGCGAACGGGUGAGUAAUACAUCGGAACGUACCCAGGAGUGGGGGAUAACGUAGCGAAAGUUACGCUAGUACCGCAUAUUCUGUGAGCAGGAAAGCGGGGGAUCGCAAGACCUCGCGCUCUUGGAGCGGCGGAUGUCGGAUUAGCUAGUUGGUGAGGUAAAAGCUCACCAAGGCGACGAUCCGUAGCAGGUCUGAGAGGAUGAUCAGCCAAACUGGGACUGAGACACGGCCCAGACUCCGACGGGAGGCAGCAGUGGGGAAUUUUGGACAAUGGGGGCAACCCUGAUCCAGCCAUGCCGCGUGAGUGAAGAAGGCCUUCGGGUUGUAAAGCUCUUUCGGCGGGGAAGAAAUGGCAACGGCUAAUAUCCGUUGUUGAUGACGGUACCCGCAUAAGAAGCACCAGCUAACUACGUGCCAGCCGCCGCCGUAA